GUGGGGUUCUAUAAACAGGAACACGGUGGACAAGUGACUCUCCCCGGCAAAGGGGACUUUGAACCGGCCUCCCUCCGGCGCCGCAGUUCAAACCCGGGAGUCCCAGGAAAUACCGCUGCCGCCGCUCGGACAAGAGCUGGAAGUGAUUGGGGGAGGGAGAGAGUUUACUUGAAUUCACACCCUGGCACUGGCCCCCCGGCAGAUAUCACGGGGGAUUCAGAGGGGAUCUGUGUCUGUUUACAUUCGCAGUUGGAAGAUAUUCACCAAACCGGAACGGUCUUCUCCACACACAUCCCCCCCAAUCACCCCACAUUAGAUAAAUCGGUACCUUCCACCCCCAACAAAUAGCACGUUAACAUCGGGCACCUUUAAAGUCUCUGCAGGUGCCUUACACAGAUCUGUAACCGCGGCAUGCAAAACCGCUGUCCCGCCUCGCCCGCGUUUCGGAGAGCAGAGUGAAUACAAGUGUUUGAAGCUGCGGGCUGUUGGGGUUUUUUGUGGGUCAGCACGGUCUGACUGGUUAAGUCAAUCAAGGAGUCUGGUUUGACACUCGAACCAUCUUCAGCCGGAGCCGCUCCUUAAUGGAUCUGAUCUGUGACUUGUUGAUUUCCCCUGAGCAAAUACGGCUUUGAUGCAGUCCCAGCGAGAGUGGUUAGCUGAUGAAUUGACAAAAACUAAUCAGCUUUAUUGGGAAACAGGUUAAGGGCAGCGGAGUGUCAAUAAUUCUCAGCCUGACCCCCUCAUCCAUUAAGAGAGGCAGGCUGAUUAGACCAAGGAGACCCUUUGCUUUUUGCACUGAAAUUGCUUUCAUAAACUCACCAUUAUUAGCAGUCAAUGCAAGCAGCUAAUUUAGAGGAGACAUCUCUGGGAUGUCACAUUUAUCAUGGAGGUUUAUGUAUCAUUAUCUCAUUUACAGAAUGUCGCAGUGUAAUAUGUGUUUUUGGCAAUAUUGCUGGCCCAGUGCCUACCAUUGGUUAUUUCUUGUAGAGAACAUCUGGGCGUUUUGAAUUCAGCUCUGUGGGUUUAAUUUAAUAUAAAAGAAUGCAAUCCAGUCCCUUUAAUACAAACUAACUUGACCCCACUCCGGGCUGGGUAGAGAGUCAGACAAGGCUCUUAAUACGAACCUUUGAAAUUUUAAUAACUUCAGCUACUAUUUGAUUGUCUUUUAAUAAAAGGCAACAGGCACCUUUAUUAAAGAAACGACAAUGGGGAAACUGAGCAUGAUCAUCUCGCUCCUCUUCAUCGCUGUGUGUAAACGCUGAGAGCUGACUGGAUCGCCUCUGAACGCAUCGGGACCAGAACAUAAAAUGGUCUUUGAGCAGGAUGCGCUCUGCGGGACCCACUUGGUCGCCUGUGGCUCGGAAGACCUGCCAGACGGCACUGUAAAUUCCACGCCUUGCCCUUUCUUUUGAAAUGAACUGAUACUCAGCGGCUUGUACCGCCAAACGUUCCUGGGGUAAACAGAGGAGACCCUUCAUUAAAGGAGACCACCCAGAGACGCCCUGAGAGGUGUCACCGAGGUUGGGCCUUGUGCUAAUCUCCGCCGAGAUAAAGCCAUGUUCCCCUUAUUGUUUUCACCUGGGCAAUAUACUGGAUCAACACAGGUGCAGGAAUUCCUAUUGCUCUCCACAACCUGCUCUAAAGGACACUUUGCACAAUGCUCAGCUGUGAGUUGGGAGCUGUCUGGACAGGAAGCCCUACCCCAUUUAUUCUGCUUUGAUAUAGGAGUCUCCUUCCCCCGCCCGCCCAAAUAUACUCAUGACAGCGGUAUUCAAUACAAGAUGUUCUGAACAUCUAAAUCUUUCCCUAAGCAUGAAAUAUGAAACAGGGGGGCGGAAACGGUGGUCUAGAAAGUGAUCUGGCCAGAAAGCAAUCCUUUGUUUCUGGCUGUGAGGGUCAAUGGGAAUAGGCCCCUGUCUUUGGAGGCCCUUUGUUCUGGUUUGUUUUGUUUUCAGUUCGUAGGGCUACACCAGCGCUGCGUUUCCAAAGGGCGCAUUGUUUAAAUGGGGGAGCUGCCCCCACAGGAACCUGACAGAAGGCAGCUGAACUCCAAGGCCCUUUCCCAGCUGAUUUCCCAGCUGAGCUGAAGAGCUGCCAGGGGUCACAGGGGACCCUUUAACGAGUUCAUUAGCCAGAUUAUCUCUGCCUGCAGCUCGGGGAGGGGCAGGCCGCUGAACUUUCUACGCUGGUUCUAGGAACUCGAAGCAAACAGGAGGGCUCACUAGGAAGGGAAAAGUAGUUUAAAAAACUCCUCCUAGAAAGCUCGACAGGACAAUUUAGCUACCCCCAGAUAUAAACCGGCCACGGACUGGAUCGUGUCCACAGAGGGAGGUGGCAAUACAAUGAAAGGGGGGAAAAACCCACAGGGGAGACGUUCAUUACGGGUCCAGGUCCUGUAAAUUGGAAGGUGUUUGUGGCUCUUGUAUUGUAUUGCAAGAUGCCUCGAAGGAGACUGUGUCUGGAUUCCCUUUUCCUAGCCGGACAGCUGCCGUUUCUGCCACCUCAGCACAGCUAAAUAUACCAAUUAACUGAAACUUCCUGUCAUUAUCCGCCUUGAUUGAAACAUUUUAGUGCUGCUAUUCGUGUAUCAGAAUAGGCCCGAAGUUCAAUUCCUGCAGCCGACUAUGUAUGUUGAUAGGUUAAAUUGGAAACUGAAUAUAGAUACUAUCACAUCUGGAAAGGCAUAUCAGAUACCCAGCUAGAGAGGAACAGUAUCCAAUAGGUCUUCCCAGGUGUGUUAUGUAGACGACGGCUACAUGAAACCCCGUGCCUAAGUGAACCGGCAAAUGCAGCCAUCUCGAGGUUGUGCAGUCCUUGGUGAGGGGAAGCUCUAGCAGAAGUCGAGGGUAGAUUGGCCUGAGCCAGGGCUGCGAGAGGCGUUGGAAGAGUCUGUUCUGCCGAGCUCGUGUGCUGGUGACACUUUGCGGAUUUCCGUGCCUUGUGCCAGCAACCGCUACAAGCCUCCCUAUGUCAGGCACAGACGGGCCAAAGUAACAGCCAUGGAGGACCCAGCGCAGAUAACCCACCAGGCAGGGGACUGAUCCCAGCUCUGUCAGGAGGACGAAGGGCAACUGGGGCGUUCACGCUGCUGCUGGUGCGUUUGCUGCAGGGGAGGCCCGGAUCCCAAGCCCUUUGAAGCUCAUGGAAAGACCCCCACUGGCUUCAAUGGGCUUUGCUUCAAAAAUAAAGCACCAGAAAGUAGCAGGUCGGAAG